UGAAACUGUGCCUCAGUCAAGAGACUUUACGGUUUUCACUUCAUCCAACUAGGAGCUUGGAGGCUGAGGAGCUACCUGCCCAUUCCAUGUGGGUGAUUUGUGCCUCCCCAGUCAUCAGGUCUUAAUCUACAUCAAUUUAAUAUCGGCUGUUCCAAGCACUUCUUAAAGAAUUCUCCAAGGUUCCUUUGUGGUUCUCCAACCUGUUUAUCCUGCUUGUUUUUCUGUCAAGUCAUGAGGCUUCAAACAGCAUGAAACACAAAUACAAUGUCUAAACUUCUCUGGCUCUCCUUCAUGCCUGGAUAUAAUGACCUUACUACUGAUGGAAAGAUUAUCUUGGGAAAUGUUGGCCCAAACUAAACCCUUUCUCCAAACAUCUGGUCUAAUUUCCUUCUGCUGGGCAAACAGACACCCUGGCUGAGUUCCA